rnacentral:rRNA from 1 species
GACGAACGCUGGCGGCGUGCUUAACACAUGCAUGUCGAACGGAAAGGCCCCUUCGGGGGUCCUCGCGUGGCGAACAGGUGCGUAACACGUGCGUAACCUGCCCUUGACUUCGGGAUAACUUCAGGAAACUGGGGCUAAUACCGGCUAGGAAUCCUUGCUGCAUGGUGGGGGUUGGAAAGCUUCGGCGGUUUUGGAUGGACUCGCGGCUUAUCAGCUUGUUGGUGGGGUAGUGGCUUACCAAGGCUUUGACGGGAAGCCGGCCUGAGAGGGCGACCCGCCACAUAGCGACUUAGAUACGGCCCAGGCUACGACUGGAAGCAGCAGUGGGGAAGAGUGACUGAAUGGCGGAAGCCGGAUGAAGCAAAGCCGCGUGCGGGAUGACGGUCUUCAGGGUGCAAACCGCAUGCAGAAGGGGACAAGCCUGUGGUGACGGUACCUGCAGAAGAAGCACCGGCUAACUACGUG